GGAAACAUGCAGAAAUGUGUGCCCCGCAAGGUCGGUAUACAGGUGGUGCAUGGUUGUCGUCAGCUCGUGUCGUGAGAUGUUGGGUUAAGUCCCGCAACGAGCGCAACCCUCGUUCUAUGUUGCCAGCACGUAAUGGUGGGAACUCAUAGGAGACUGCCGGGGUCAACUCGGAGGAAGGUGGGGAUGACGUCAAAUCAUCAUGCCCCUUAUGUCUUGGGCUUCACGCAUGCUACAAUGGCCGGUACAAAGGGCUGCGAUACCGUAAGGUGGAGCGAAUCCCAAAAAGCCGGUCUCAGUUCGGAUUGAGGUCUGCAACUCGACCUCAUGAAGUCGGAGUCGCUAGUAAUCGCAGAUCAGCAACGCUGCGGUGAAUACGUUCCCGGGCCUUGUACACACCGCCCGUCAAGUCAUGAAAGUCGGUAACACCCGAAGCCAGUGGCCUAACCGCAAGGGAGGAGCUGUCGAAGGUGGGAUCGGUGAUUAGGACUAAGUCGUAACAAGGUAGCCGUACCGGAAGGUGCGGCUGGAUCACCUCCUUUCUAAGGA
rnacentral:rRNA from 1 species